rnacentral:rRNA from 1 species
GAGUAACGAUUGGAGGAAAAGUCUGGUGCCAGCACCCGCGGUAAUUCCAGCUCCAAUAGCGUAUUCUAAAAUUGUUGCAGUUAAAACGCUCGUAGUUUGACUAAAAAUACAAAUGUGUGAGCAGUGUCAAAUGCGGCUAUCUUUUUAUGAUUCAGUUCGUUUAAAGAAGCUGUGCCCAAGGCAAAAAUUUUGACAUUUUUAGAUCACGCCAAACUUACUGUAGCUUGCUACUUUAGGCUGUGUGUUAUCGCUUACAUAAUGAAGUAUUUGCUGUUUCCAACUGUGAGUAAAUCAAAGUGCUUAAAACAAGCUAACUAUUUAUAGUGUAGCAUGAAUGGUUUAGCAUGGUAUUGGAUUAAUAUUUUCUUCAAAUAUUAAAAGAGAACUAGGCAGAGGGUUUUUGCAUUGUAUUGUUAGAGGUGAAAUUCAGAGAUCGAUACAAGACUCACAAAUGCGAAGGCAGUUAUACCCAUGACAUUUCUAUCAAUCAGGAACGAAAGUUGGGGGAUCGAAGAUGAUUAGAUACCGUCGUAGUCCUAACCGUAAACUAUAUCGACAGGAGAUUGGAUGAUGAACCCUUUCAGGCUGAAACUUAAAAGAAUUGACGGAAGAACACAACCAGGAGUGGAAUUUGCGGCUUAAUUCGACCCAACACGGGAAAACUCACCAGGACCGGAUAAACGAGCAGGAUUGACAGGUUGAAGUCCUUUCAUGAUUUCUUACAUGGUGGUGCAUGGCCGUUCUUAGUACGUGAAUUGAUUUGUCUGGUUAAUUCCGAUAACGUACGAGACCUUAACACAUUAAUUAGGCAAUCGUUGAUUAACUCUCUCAUGUUUCUACGGAAAUCGAUUAUGGAACAUAAGUUUCGAGCUUCUUAAUUGGGACUAUGUAUCGUUACCACAAUUAUAUUAGUACAAGGAAGUUUAAGGCAAUAACAGGUCUGGAAUGCCCUUAGAUGUCCUGGGCAGCACGCGUAUUACAAUGUUAGUUUAAACGAGAAAAAAUUUUCGGAUUUAUUCGGAAAUACCAAGCUUGGGUAACCUUUAUAAAAGGCUAGGGAAUCUUUUGAAUUACUAACGUGACUGGGAUAGAUGGUUGUAAUAUCGUCUUCAACGAGGAAUUCCUAGUAAGUGCAAGUCACUAACUUGUAUUGAUUACGUCCCUGUUCUUUGUACACACCGCCCGUCGCUCCUACCAAUGGAACAAAAAGAUGAAAGCGAUGAACUGAUGUUAUGUUGGAAAAUUAAUUAAAUCUUUUUGUUUGUAGGAAGGAGAAGUCGUAACAAGGU